GCAUGUAUCGCUCAGUGGUAGAACGCAUACUUAAUAAGCAUGAGGUCCUGGGUUCAAUCCCCAGUACUUCUG
rnacentral:tRNA from 1 species